rnacentral:misc_RNA from 1 species
GCCACACCCAUCCAGAUCCUUGCAAAGCAGCACCUUCUGCAUUGAUUUUUUGAAUCAACUUUUCCAAAGAGCCAAAAUCUGUGUCAAUAGCCCAACCAAGGGAACUAUGUGGGGGUUCACCACCUCCUUCACGGACAGGGGCAAGAUUCUUCCAGAAAAUGGAAUGAUUGACAUGACCUGCAGGAUAAAUACAUUGCCAUCAGUCAAAGAGAGUGAAGGACACUGCAGAAGCAAUAUUAACAAGAAUGUCAACAAACAAAGUCAUGGAAUUGUAUACUUCUUUUAGAACUUUGACCAUCACAAUUAUUUUCACCGAUUAAAGACACAGCAGCAGGAAGAUAAAAGGAAGAAGAAAACAAAUUAACAAUCUAAUAAAGUGUUCCCAGACAUCUCUUUGAGUAGGUUACUCUCACUAUUAUGUUAUGCUUUGUCAUAACAAUAACAUCUAAAAAUCCCAUAAGAGAUAAUGUUGUUUUCUUGAUUCUAGUCAAUUAAUCACCAUAGAAAGCUUCAAUUACCUACAAUGUGCUAAAAAGCAUACCACGAUCGAAACCACUUCCAUAAUCAAUUCCGAUGCAAUCAAUCGAGUGCCGAUAACAAUCAAGAGAAAUAAAAGCAUCAGGCCAAGCAAACUAGUGAAGCAAUUAUUUUCCUCCUGCCACAACAACUUCGUUUUCACAAUCUAUGCAAAGCUAAAUUUGCUUCCGAUCAUCCAAUUUCACAUCAAAUACUCCAACACACAGCCAAAACAGCUCAAAACAAAAAGAAAUAAGCAAUACCCAAAGAUCGAGAAAGGGAA